CUAUACAUGCAGUCGAGCGGACCGACGGGAGCUUGCUCCCUUAGGUCAGCGGCGGACGGGUGAGUAACACGUGGGUAACCUGCCUGUAAGACUGGGAUAACUCCGGGAAACCGGGGCUAAUACCGGAUGCUUGAUUGAACCGCAUGGUUCAAUCAUAAAAGGUGGCUUUUAGCUACCACUUGCAGAUGGACCCGCGGCGCAUUAGCUAGUUGGUGAGGUAACGGCUCACCAAGGCGACGAUGCGUAGCCGACCUGAGAGGGUGAUCGGCCACACUGGGACUGAGACACGGCCCAGACUCCUACGGGAGGCAGCAGUAGGGAAUCUUCCGCAAUGGACGAAAGUCUGACGGAGCAACGCCGCGUGAGUGAUGAAGGUUUUCGGAUCGUAAAACUCUGUUGUUAGGGAAGAACAAGUACCGUUCGAAUAGGGCGGUACCUUGACGGUACCUAACCAGAAAGCCACGGCUAACUACGUGCCAGCAGCCGCGGUAAUACGUAGGUGGCAAGCGUUGUCCGGAAUUAUUGGGCGUAAAGCGCGCGCAGGCGGUUUCUUAAGUCUGAUGUGAAAGCCCCCGGCUCAACCGGGGAGGGUCAUUGGAAACUGGGGAACUUGAGUGCAGAAGAGGAGAGUGGAAUUCCACGUGUAGCGGUGAAAUGCGUAGAGAUGUGGAGGAACACCAGUGGCGAAGGCGACUCUCUGGUCUGUAACUGACGCUGAGGCGCGAAAGCGUGGGGAGCGAACAGGAUUAGAUACCCUGGUAGUCCACGCCGUAAACGAUGAGUGCUAAGUGUUAGAGGGUUUCCGCCCUUUAGUGCUGCAGCAAACGCAUUAAGCACUCCGCCUGGGGAGUACGGUCGCAAGACUGAAACUCAAAGGAAUUGACGGGGGCCCGCACAAGCGGUGGAGCAUGUGGUUUAAUUCGAAGCAACGCGAAGAACCUUACCAGGUCUUGACAUCCUCUGACAACCCUAGAGAUAGGGCUUCCCCUUCGGGGGCAGAGUGACAGGUGGUGCAUGGUUGUCGUCAGCUCGUGUCGUGAGAUGUUGGGUUAAGUCCCGCAACGAGCGCAACCCUUGAUCUUAGUUGCCAGCAUUCAGUUGG
rnacentral:rRNA from 1 species